rnacentral:tRNA from 1 species
GCUUGAAUAAGCGUAUGUUUUGAAAACAUAAGAUAGAAUUAAUAAAAUUUU